rnacentral:rRNA from 1 species
UACGGAGGGGCUAGCGUUGUUCGGAAUUACUGGGCGUAAAGCGCGCGUAGGCGGACCUGCAAGUCCGGGGGUGAAAGGCCCGAGGCUCAACCUCGGAACUGCCUUCGAUACUGCGGGUCUCGAGUCCGGGAGAGGUGAGUGGAAUUCCUAGUGUAGAGGUGAAAUUCGUAGAUAUUAGGAAGAACACCAGUGGCGAAGGCGGCUCACUGGCCCGGUACUGACGC